rnacentral:rRNA from 1 species
GACGAACGCUGGCGGCGUGCCUAAUACAUGCAAGUAGGACGCAGUUGCGAACGGGUGCGUAACACGUAGGUAGCUACCUAUUAUAGGGGGAUAACUAUUGGAAACGAUAGCUAAUACCGCAUACUAGUAGAUGGACCUGCGUUGUAUUAGCUAGUAGGGAGGGUAAUGGCAUACCUAGGCAACGAUACAUAGCCGACCGGGGAGGGUGGACCGCCAAAAUGGGACUGAGACACGGCCCAGACUCCUACGGGGGGCAGGCGUAGGGAAUCUUCGGCAAUGGGGGGAACCCUGACCGAGCAACGCCGGGUGAGUGAAGAAGGUUUUCGGAGCGGAAAGCUCUGUUGUUAAGGAAGCGGUACUUAACCAGAAAGCGACGGCUAACUACGUGCCAGCCGCCGCGGUAAUAC